rnacentral:snRNA from 1 species
UUCCUCUUCCCAAACGUAGAUUUGUGUCCAGCGAUCCUGGCGCGCCUUUGCGCGCUGCUGGUCGAUUGCUGCGACAGUUCGACGACCCAUGGGAACUUCACACACCACAAUGGAGCACAUCCGGUCGACAGAUCUUAGAGCCAACGUGGCGCGCAUCUUGAGCUCUUCGUGAGCUCGGUGUGUCGUCCGGGCGCUAUAUUCCAAGUCGCUUCUGAGCCCGUCGGGCGUUGAAGGUCGGGAAAAACCAUAGCUGCCUACAUCA